rnacentral:rRNA from 1 species
CCUACGGGAGGCAGCAGUGAGGAAUAUUGGUCAAUGGCCGGAAGGCUGAACCAGCCAUGCCGCGUGAAGGUCAGUGCCCCAUGGGCGUUAAACUUCUUUUGUGCGGGAGCAAUAAUGGUCACGUGUGGCCAGACGAGAGUACCGUACGAAUAAGCAUAGGCUAACUCCGUGCCAGCAGCCGCGGUAAUACGGGGGAUGCAAGCGUUAUCCGGAUUUAUUGGGUUUAAAGGGUGCGUAGGCGGUGAGGUAAGUCAGCGUGGAAAUGCCCCCGGUCAACGGGGUGACGUGCCAUUGAUACUGCCUUGCUGGAAUGCGGAUGCCGUGGGAGGAAUGUGUGGUGUAGCGGUGAAAUGCAUAGAUAUCACACAGAACACCGAUUGCGAAGGCAUCUCACGAAUCCGCGAUUGACGCUGAUGCACGAAAGCGUGGGUAUCAAACAGGAUUAGAUACCCUUGUAGUC